CCUCUCAAUUUCUUCUCAAUACGUCAAUCCGUCGUAACCAAAACUUCUAUCGAAACGUCAAUCUCGUGAAUGCACCAUCGACUCGUUUGAUAUUGCUCGCGGUCUGUAGAUCGUAGUGUACUUGGAGUGAAAAGUUGAGCAUGGCGUAUGGAAUGGCACCAGUUGCCUUAUAUCACAUAGUUUGCGUUUUUAAAAAUAAAGAUUUAUUUAAUAGUUACGCUAAACCAGUAGUGUGCAACUUUUAAAACAGGAGGGUCCAAUACGAAUACAUGGGUGAAAUUGCGGCCACACCUUUUUUAACAUAAGCUUUCUAGUAGUUAUAGGCACAAAAAUUUUGGUUAUUAAUCGUAUGACAUGUGUUGUAAGUUUCGCAUAAGUUAGUUGUUAGGGCAUUGUAACAGGUAUAGGUAAUAAAUUAGACUCAGGUAAAAGCUUUGCAACGCACGUACAAAAUUAAAUUAAAAACUUGUUUCGCGACCCGCGCAACAUUCUAAAUUGGCAUUUCUCCCGGGCCCACAAUUUUACUGUGCGCAUUUGGCCCACAGGCCGCAGGUUGCAUAUCCCUCAGUUAAAUUAUAGAUAAUCUCAUAUAGUUUACAAAACAACCUUAUUCUUAUUAUAUAAUUUCCAAAUAGCACAAUUUUUAAUAAAGAUUUCUGGUUGGCAGGUACAAUAAAUAUUCCUACAUAAGUUUGUAUUAAAAAUUGUAAAGUAUAUUAUCAAUAUGCAAUGGAAGUAUCGAGAAUCCGUCUAGUUACACCGCGUUGGGACAUAAAUGGAAUGCACCUCAAUAAAGUUAUCCAAGUACAAGGAGUAACUGAAGAUAGGAGUGACGGCGGCUACCACGUCAAUCUCUUGUGUGGUUCAAGACGGAACGCGGAGAAACCGUUAGCAUUGCGCAUCAAUCCUCAAUUCGCUGAGCAACAAAUUUACAGGAA